UACGUAGGGGGCAAGCGUUGUCCGGAUUUAUUGGGCGUAAAGAGCGUGUAGGCGGCCAUACAGGUCCGUUGUGAAAACUCGAGGCUCAACCUCGAGACGUCGGUGGAAACCGCAUGGCUAGAGUCCGGAGGAGGAGAGUGGAAUUCCCGGUGUAGCGGUGAAAUGCGCAGAUAUCGGGAAGAACACCCGUGGCGAAGGCGGCUCUCUGGGACGGUACUGACGCUGAGACGCGAAAGCGUGGGGAGCGAACAGG
rnacentral:rRNA from 1 species